rnacentral:rRNA from 1 species
UGGGGAAUCUUGCGCAAUGGCCUAACGGCUGACGCAGCGACGCCGCGUGUGGGAUGAAGCUCUUCGGAGUGUAAACCACUGUUGCCCGGGACGAAUAGCUCGAUUCAUCGAGCCUGACGGUACCGGGUGAGGAAGCACCGGCUAACUCCGUGCCAGCAGCCGCGGUAAUACGGGGGGUGCGAGCGUUGUCCGGAAUCACUGGGCGUAAAGGGCGCGUAGGUGGUUUGAUAAGGGUGUGGUGAAAGUCCGGGGCUCAACCCCGGAUCUGCCGUGCCGACUGUCAAACUCGAGGGCUGUAGAGGCAGACGGAAUUCCGGGUGUAGCGGUGGAAUGCGUAGAGAUCCGGAGGAAGACCGGUGGCGAAGGCGGUCUGCUGGGCAGUUUCUGACACUGAUGCGCGACAGCGUGGGGGAGCAAACAGGGAUUAGAUACCC